rnacentral:rRNA from 1 species
CUUAGCUUGCUAAGGCCGAUGGCGACCGGCGCACGGGUGAGUAACACGUAUCCAACCUGCCGUCUACUCUUGGACAGCCUUCUGAAAGGAAGAUUAAUACAAGAUGGCAUCAUGAGUUCACAUGUUCACAUGAUUAAAGGUAUUCCGGUAGACGAUGGGGAUGCGUUCCAUUAGAUAGUAGGCGGGGUAACGGCCCACCUAGUCUUCGAUGGAUAGGGGUUCUGAGAGGAAGGUCCCCCACAUUGGAACUGAGACACGGUCCAAACUCCUACGGGAGGCAGCAGUGAGGAAUAUUGGUCAAUGGGCGAGAGCCUGAACCAGCCAAGUAGCGUGAAGGAUGACUGCCCUAUGGGUUGUAAACUUCUUUUAUAAAGGAAUAAAGUCGGGUAUGCAUACCCGUUUGCAUGUACUUUAUGAAUAAGGAUCGGCUAACUCCGUGCCAGCAGCCGCGGUAAUACGGAGGAUCCGAGCGUUAUCCGGAUUUAUUGGGUUUAAAGGGAGCGUAGAUGGAUGUUUAAGUCAGUUGUGAAAGUUUGCGGCUCAACCGUAAAAUUGCAGUUGAUACUGGAUAUCUUGAGUGCAGUUGAGGCAGGCGGAAUUCGUGGUGUAGCGGUGAAAUGCUUAGAUAUCACGAAGAACUCCGAUUGCGAAGGCAGCCUGCUAAGCUGCAACUGACAUUGAGGCUCGAAAGUGUGGGUAUCAAACAGGAUUAGAUACCCUGGUAGUCCACACGGUAAACGAUGAAUACUCGCUGUUUGCGAUAUACAGCAAGCGGCCAAGCGAAAGCGUUAAGUAUUCCACCUGGGGAGUACGCCGGCAACGGUGAAACUCAAAGGAAUUGACGGGGGCCCGCACAAGCGGAGGAACAUGUGGUUUAAUUCGAUGAUACGCGAGGAACCUUACCCGGG